AACGUAGGUGGCAAGCGUUAUCCGGAAUUACUGGGCGUCAAGGGUGUGCAGGCGGGGAAGCAAGUGGUGUAUGAAAUAUCCCAGCUUAACUGGGAGGGGUUAUGCCAGACUGCUUUUCUAGAGGACGAGAGAGGGGGGUGGAAUUCCGGGUGUAGUGGUGAAAUGCGUAGAGAUCCGGAGGAACCCCAGAGGCGAAGGCGGCCCCCUGGCUCGUACCUGACGCUCAGCCACGAAAGCAUGGGGAGCGAACGGG
rnacentral:rRNA from 1 species